UACCAGCACCCCGAGUGGUCGGGACGACUAUUGGGCCUAAAGCAUCCGUAGCCGGCCUUACAAGUCCCCCGUUAAAUCCAACUGCUUAACAGAUGGGCUGCGGAGGAUACUAUAAGACUAGGAGGCAGGAGAGGCAAGCGGUACUCAGUGGGUAGGGGUAAAAUCCGUUGAUCCAUUGAAGACCACCAGUGGCGAAGGCGGCUUGCCAGAAUGCGCUCGACGGUGAGGGAUGAAAGCUGGGGGAGCAAACCGG
rnacentral:rRNA from 1 species